AACUUUUAAACCAUAAUUUCUCAUCUUGUGGCUAAUUCAUUAGUCCUGCAAAGGCAAUCUAGUCCCCAGAGAGGAAGGGGGUUUGUUUUGGCAAAGGGUUGUUAUCAUCUUUGUCUCCAAGUUACACUAUAAACUAAGUACCUCCCAGAGUUAGUUCGGCCUAUGCCCAAGAAUGAACAAGGAUAGCUUGGAGGUGAGAAGCAAGGUGGAGGUGGUUAGGUCAAAUUACUUUUACCGUCAUAAUUUUCUCAGUUACAAUUUUUGCAAAGGCAGUUUCAUUAUGCUACUAUAAAUAGAACCGGUAGGCUCUACAUUAGUUGACCUGGACAGACAUUCAGAUGAAAUAUUAAGUGAAAGAAAACAAGUUUCAA